UGAAAUUUGUAAACAAGCACUUACUAUUACUAUUAGAAAGGAGAGUUACUCACUGUAACAAAGACUUUUGACAGUCUGAUACAUGUAUAGUAUUGGUUAUAUGUCGAACGUUAGUUCCUUUCAGAGGACGUGUUAACGCAGGGUUGGUAUUACAUAGUGGAUUGGUAUAAGUACGUUGUAUGAUUGAUUAAUCCGAGUUUACUCAUACAUUUCCUGUCCAUUUCCACUACAGUUCUGUAUUACUAUUAUCUUGUAUGUACAGUGGCUGAUCUGGAAAGGUGGUGCUCCCCACUUUUGUUGAAUAUUUUUAACAAAAAUGUAAAUUAAUUUAUUAUGUGCCAUUAACUCCUCUGGGGACGAAAAAGGUACAUUUAAAUCCCUGUGAAAAUUGUCUAGAUCCGCCUCUGAAUUCUAUAUAGUGCAAGUACAAGCGAAACAAUGGACUAAUAACUGACUUACUUCUUAGCCGUAUUGUGGAAAAAUGUAAAUAUUCAUCAUCAUAUAAUAUUAUCGCAUCUUCCAUUUCUAUUAACAGGUUCUUUUUUCAAUAGCCAUCACAGACUAAAAUAUUGAAAAAUAAAGGGAGUGGAGCUACUCAGCACUUCAAUGAGUUCAACUGAGAUUUGAUUUACAAGAGUAACUUGGAAUAAGACAACAUUAUAAUAAAGGAGGACAGAAAUUAAGACGAAGAUUGGUUGCAACUGAAAAGAAGAAGAACUGGACAGAGGAGAAGAGAACAUCGGUGAAAAAGUUUCUUAGCCAUAAACAAUCAUAUAAGUAUAUGUCAAGUGAUGAAGAAGGAGCAGAUGGUUUUAUUUCGCACCCAUACUCCUGGGAAAGUGACACUUGGAAGAAUGUGAAAGACAGUUUGGACAAGAAAUAUUUAGAGACAUGUCCACCCCGGAGUAGGCGACUCGUUCAAAAGAGAACAAAAGGUUCAGCAAAAGAACAGCCAACACCAGAAUUUGAAGAGGAGUUUUCCUGGGUUUUUAAAUGAACUAAUAUUAAUUUUUGUUUAUGUUGAUGCUGUAUAUAAACUUUUUAAACAUGUAAAUUAACAUUAUCCAUAUGUGUUUUAUCUUAAUUUGAAAAAUUUGAAAAUUAUAGUUUAAGAGAAUUAUUGAGUGAAGUAUUCUUAGCAAAUAUGUGCAAUCAACAUUUUUGACUUCUCUGCAAAAAAAAAAACUUUUUUAAUUUAUAAAUUUUACUUUUGAAAUUUAACAUGCAUGCAGAUACAUGUAGAUGCAUAUAGUGUAAAUAACUGUGAUUUUUUAGCUGUAAAUCAUAACAGACCAGGUGAGAAAUGUUCAAACUUAUAGAAAAUGUAUGCCCUGAAUUGUUAAUAUGUAAAUCAGUACUUUUUUUGAAAUUGAUUUCCUGUUGUCACUGUUAAGUUGUCAGCUGCAGUAUGUGUAGCUCUCUAGAAGAACUGUAUGGGAAAUAUUUUGUACAGCAGUAGUCCCUUUUAAAUUUAUUUUACUUCAAAUGUUUUGUGGCAUUAUUAAUUUGUAUUAAAAGAAAAGAUAACCUGC